CACACGCUCGCGCCGGCGCCGCCGUCACCCACCCUCCGGUCUCCGUCCCACCCGGCCUUCCCACGCGUCCCCCUCCCUCCUGCGCCUGCUGACUGGCUGCUCCGACCCGACCCCCUACUGCCGAGCCGAGUUGCCUUUCAAGGCUCCGCCCCGGCCAGCGGCCGGCUCGCCGUGCUGCACAGCUGCAGCGCAGAGCGGCAGAGCCCCAGAGUAGCCGCCGUGCUGUUGUGUGCUGUGGCUGUCGCCUGUCGCCGACUCGCCGUGUCGUUGUAUACUCGUGCUGCUGCUGCCUCUCUGCUGCGCGGCUGCGCCCAAGAUUGGCCCACCGGAACUCGCCGCCGCCGCCAGAGCUGUGACUCACAUUCAACGUGCCAUCCACUCCGCCCUCGUGCGAAUCAACUUCAAUGCGCCGCUGCAUUGCCCUGAAAGCUAGAAGAGAUUGUCCGACUGAAAUACAGAAGAACAAGAUGAGUCCAUGAAAGGAACGCGGCCGUGGAUCGUGAAAGAAGGAUAGGAAAUGAAGCACAAGAUCACCUUGCACCUGCGUGCCCCACCUGGCCGUCUUCUCUGCAGCACAGUCUGCCGUUGGAUUGCUCCUUGAACACAAGUUUCCUGACCAUCAGUAAAACUCUGAACUGAUUUCUCGCUGCUGACGAUGCAUAUCCAUCCUUCCCAGAGCCCACUCAAGGCAGUGACCGCAGGUGCGUACUGGAAGGUGGCGAUCUAGCAGAGCGGCGCAGGCCGGACAGAGGUCUGUGCCUAGUGGAGCGGCAGCUGCCGGUGCCUGUUCAUCUAACACCCCUUGUAACUGAUGCAUUCUUGUACAGUCUGAUCCCGUGACCAUGUGCUGAAGAAAGUGACACCCAAAACUGCAGAAUCUGCUUCAGUCUCUUCUCACCAGGAUAUGAUGGACAUGACUCUGAACCCCUUUGGAUUCCUUUGGCGCUGCGUGCGUGCGUGCGUGUGCAGUACAGUAUGAGAUUCCCACUCCAGCAGCAGCACGCCAGGUAAGUCUUGUCCAUGCCCCACGCCUUUUAUGCAAUUUACGUUUUUGGCAUGUUUCCAUUUCAUUUUGAGGUUUUGGCCAGAGCCAAAUUGAAUGAAUAUCCGGCUCUUCACAUAGUGAUGUGCAUGUAAUAUAGUUUUUCUUCUUCUUCUUCUGAACUGUAACAACACACUUUGAUAAGCUGACGUUAAUUGUUC